rnacentral:rRNA from 1 species
ACAGCAGCAGCCACGGUAAUACGAAGGGUGCAAGCGUUACUCGGAAUUACUGGGCGUAAAGCGUGCGUAGGUGGUGGUUUAAGUCCGUUGUGAAAGCCCUGGGCUCAACCUGGGAAUUGCAGUGGAUACUGGGUCACUAGAGUGUGGUAGAGGAUAGUGGAAUUUCCGGUGUAGCAGUGAAAUGCGUAGAGAUCGGAAGGAACAUCUGUGGCGAAGGCGACUAUCUGGGCCAACACUGACACUGAGGCACGAAAGCGUGGGGAGCAAACAGGAUUAGAUACCCGCGUAGUCCAUGUCUCUUAUAA